rnacentral:rRNA from 1 species
GACGAAAGUCUGACCGAGCAACGCCGCGUGAGUGAAGAAGGUUUUCGGAUCGUAAAGCUCUGUUGUAAGUCAAGAACGUGUGUGAGAGUGGAAAGUUCACACAGUGACGGUAGCUUACCAGAAAGGGACGGCUAACUACGUGCCAGCAGCCGCGGUAAUACGUAGGUCCCGAGCGUUGUCCGGAUUUAUUGGGCGUAAAGGGAGCGCAGGCGGUCAGGAAAGUCUGGAGUAAAAGGCUAUGGCUCAACCAUAGUGUGCUCUGGAAACUGUCUGACUUGAGUGCAGAAGGGGAGAGUGGAAUUCCAUGUGUAGCGGUGAAAUGCGUAGAUAUAUGGAGGAACACCAGUGGCGAAAGCGGCUCUCUGGUCUGUCACUGACGCUGAGGCUCGAAAGCGUGGGUAGCGAACAGGAUUAGAUACCCUGGUAGUCCACGCCGUAAACGAUGAGUGCUAGGUGUUAGGCCCUUUCCGGGGCUUAGUGCCGGAGCUAACGCAAUAAGCACUCCGCCUGGGGAGUACGACCGCAAGGUUGAAACUCAAAGGAAUUGACGGGGGCCCGCACAAGCGGUGGAGCAUGUGGUUUAAUUCGAAGCAACGCGAAGAACCUUACCAGGU